CUCUCUGACAGAUGCAGCUUUGAACUCUGAUAAACACACAGUCUGCAGGAGACACAGAAUAACAGUUUGUGGAGAAAACACUAUUCACUCUGUUGCUAAAGUCGAGCUUGUUAAUUAAAAGAGAAGCUUGUCUGAAGGAUUAACGACAAGCUCUGCUGUUCAUUUCAGAGCCCGCCGCAUCACACACCUGCACUGAUGGAUUAUGGGUAAGCACUUUUGUUUGUAGGUUGCAUUUUUGUGAUGAGACGUUUGAUCCGGCAAAAGUGUCAAGUCAGGCAGAAAAGCAGCCUAACAAGACGCCCGCUUUCCUCUGGGUAUAAAAACACAGGUUCUCUGUUGUUUCCCUGCAAACGCUCGGCCUCCUUUCAUCAGCAUAUUUUAACAGUCGUACAGUAAAGAACAAAAAGGAGACAAAUUGGGGUUCGGGAACGACCAGAGACAGCAGCAUUUCUCUUGAAUUAGCAAAGCUCCGAGCUUAACAGCGCUGUCUCUGCAGCAGGAAGGUUUUCCCACAAAGCAGCGCCGCUCUCUCCGCUUCCUCGCAGAAUAAUUGGAGGGAAAACGAAGCGCGGCUUUGAGCGGAUGUUCCCUUUGUUUUAAGCGCUGGCUGUAAAUAUACACAUUCAUACACUCUGUAUUAAUGUCACAGCUGUAGUGAUCACAGAGCAGUUAGUUCCUACCAGCAGCUGUCAGAGGUCAUUAACAGACAGAGUGUGUGUGUGUGUGUGUGUGUGUGUGUGUGUGUGUGUGUGUGUGUGUGUGUGUGUGUGUGUGUGUGUGUGUGUGUGUGUGUGUGUUGUGUGGAUCGAUAGCAGGGUGAUGCUGAGCUGCAGAAGACAUGCUGGCUAAUUAAGGCCUCUCAGACUGGUCUGCUCACCGUUGGAUAAUAAAGUUUAAACAAAUGUAAAUUAACGUGAGCAUGUGCAAACUCUGCAGGACUUUAAAGGGACAUUACGCGGAAUUGGGCGUUUAUUUACACAAAGAAAAAAAAUGAUAACCCAGAAGUUUGUAUAAAUUAGUUUAUAUUGAAUAAAAUGCGAUAAUCGUUCAUUUCUGAUAUUUAGAAAAAGACUUUUUUAUUAUCAAAGCAUCAGCUUCUCGUACCGGAGGCUGUCAUGUUGCAGAACAUAAUGAGUUUAUGCUCUUACCCUUCCUCCUGUAUUCAGUUUCACUACACACCCACUAUGUUACCAGGUCGGUUUCGAUCUGUGUCUUAAAUCAGCUGCAAAUUAUCACAAACUUUAUAAAUUAAUGACACAGAAUAUGAAUGUUAUAUUCUAAUAAUAUAUAAUAUUUAUAUGUAAAAGUUAUAAGGGGGUUCAUGUUUUCUAUGAUUGACACCUGAUACAGCCUAUUGGUGUUCAGGGAUUGCGUAGCUCACCUGGGAAAGCCAAGCGACUCUCGGCGACUCUCCCACCGAACGCGCAGAAUGCUACUGCGCAGCGCUGGUUUCAGGAAAUGAAGAAAAAUCCUGGAAAUACAGAGAGCUUUUUGGCUUCAAAUCCGUAUACAGGCGGGAUGCGGAACCAAGUUAUCCAUAGUAUAUACAGUCUAUGGUUUAUGCUCUUACCCUUUCUCCUGUAUGGGUAGUUUUCACUCACAUCUGAUUGAAAUCAAUCGGAUUAAGUGAAUCUGAUUCCAUCUGUAUAUCAUGCAACUUUAAGUAAAGAACAAUUCGCUAUCAUCCAGUUUGGUUCUCAUCUCUAGGUGACCUUGUUCGGCUUCAUUAUCCAUGAAAAUAUUGAUUAUAAUAUUUUUUGUAGUGGGGCUCUGGGCCUUUCUUCUUCAGUAUACCCCUCACACAGACAUCUAUACUGAGUUGAUCUCACAUGUCUGGACAUGCCCAAUGUUGUUUUUUUGUGCAAGGAGAAACAAAAUGAGAAUUUCCUAAAUCUCACAUGAUUGGAAGAUGAUCUGACUGUCAGUAGCCCCGUUUAUAUGGGUAGUUUUCCUCAAUCUGAUUGAAAUCAAUCGGAUUAAGUGAAUCUGAUUCCAUCUGUAUACAUGAACUUUAAGUAAAGAGAUCCACGUUCAGUCCGCGUUUGCAUGGCCCCAGCUGAAUCCAAUUGUAUUGUUUUUUUUACAUGCGCAAAAGGUCACUCUGCCACUACCUGCAAAUGUGUAAGAGAAGAAAAGGCGCACUUCCUGCUUCCUGUUUACCUGUAGAAAGAUAGAUCCGCGUCGUGUUUUGUUGGGGACGCUUAUUGUGUUGUGGUUACAUUUAUUUGCGGCUCUGAAGUCACAACAGUUAAUAGUCCUGAAGCGUCAUGUUUGUUUUCAUUUGGGCGCACUCUGCGUACGUCACUACGUGCCUCUUACAUACUACAGAGCGCCUGCGCAGACCGGACAAGCCUCUCUGUAAACCCAAUCCGCUCCACUCAGCCGUAUAUAUGGAGCAUGGAGCGGAUUAUCAAUCGGUGUAGACUACUUCUUAACAAUCCGAGCCGAAAUACAAUCAGAUCCGGGACAUUUUGAAUCUGAUUGUAAAUAGGAUUUUUGGACCCAUGUAAACGGGGCUAGUGUGGUGCCUGUCAGUGCACAUAUGAUUUCAGUUUUGGCUCUAAUUAUUGUUUUAUAAUACAACCGGGACAACAGCGACCCUAACAUGACAAGUGCCAUAAUUUCUACCAGAGCAUUUUAUGAUUUAGUGAAUAGAUGUUUUUUAAUUGUGUUGAAAUAGAGGUUCCUGACUCAACGUCAAAAAGGCUCAAUGCAAAAAAAUAAAAUAAAAAUGAUAAUUUAUGGGUUCUUUAACACAGGAGGAGGGUUAAUAUUAUGACUUUACUGAGCCGUAGUUCUUGUAGCAUUCUGCCUCUAAACUUGCAGCACUAAACUGUCCUUAAAUAUUUGCCUUUAUACGACAUGCUGGACGGCAGAGGAGUGUUUUUGUCGAACAGACCGCCGUUCCUCAGGAAAAUUCGUCGACUCAACUUUAACAUUAUUUUAAUAACAAACACCCUGAACUCAUCCAGAAAGCUGUUUUUUUUCUCUCUUUUUUCGUCUCUGACCUUCAGCAGCUUCAUGAUUGAGUGAGCGAUCGGACGGAUGCCGGCUCACAGGAGGAGUUCAGGACAAACAGAUUGAUUCGCUCUCUGAAAACACUGAUGGAUCACUGAGAGGACAGACAGCUGUCAGUCUUUUGGAGACACUGUUGCCUGCGGUUCCCGAACUUCGACUUAUUUUCACUGUUAAGUACCCUCAACCCAAACUGACUCAAUCAUCGGGCAGAAUUCAUUCUUCAGCCGUCCCUCGGCUCGAAUCAUCUCUGAGCUCCGUCUGUGUUUUGUAACUUCUCCACACUUCCUGCAGAUUAUUUAACCUGCAGCACUUUCAUCACAAUCAGGUCCAAGAAUAAUCUGAGAUUGUAUGCAGACACCUGUUUGGAUUACCUUUCUAACACCAGCUGUCUUGCGUGACUCCAUGGUAACCUGUGUUAAUGUAUAAGUCUGUCUCAUAGGCAUUAAUUUAUCCAGUAUUCUGCACAUCUUUUCAUCUCUUUGGUGAGAUGUUUGAAGGUUCCUGUGGAGGACAGCUUUGAAAGUGUUUCUUUUUGCUGCGUUUGUUGCAGAGAAAGGCCACUGUCCCAUAAAAGAGAAAAUAUUUUUUAAUCAGAAACACUAAUUAAUAAAAUACUUCAGUAUUCUGCAACAAAGCGCGGUUCAAAAUGUUUUCAUGAAUGUUGGAGCAAAAACAUCUGAGAAAACCUCAAAUGAUGGAAAUACCUUCAGCUAAAAUGACUUCAUGUUUUGAUUAAGAUCCAAAAAAUAUGCAAAAAAAAAAAAAAAAAAGGGGAUUUAUACUAUCAAUAUUGAAUCUUUGGUGGAGGGUCUUUUGGCAUUUUCUGAUUUAAAAUAGCCUCUCUCAUCAUCUCAUCAACAUUUUACUUUUAAUACACAAAUAAGAAAAGCGGUUCUGUUGUCAGUGUCAGAACCAAACGGGCUUUCCCGCUCUCGUCAGAGCAGCUGCUUCCACUUUGUUUUCCAAAGUGAAAUCCAGCACAACGGUUCGAUAAAUCUAAUGUAAAAAUCCAAGCAGGUGGAAACACCUAGCUGCAAAUUAAAAGUCAAAGAGCAACAGUAGCUGCAGGCUGUGUUUAAAGCUGUCUGUUUGUGUUUUUAAAUCUGAUUAGCAAGUCAGGACCUGAAAAUGAGACACUUCGGUGUCUUCACCCCAGCGUGAUGCCGCUUUGAUUGUUUUCAUGAGGAAAGUGGAGCCUAAAAAUCCAAUAAUCUGACAGAGAGCGACCCAAAUCUGACUUAAAGGGGGCGCCAAAGUCUGAUUCCCUUUUAUUUUCAGCUUUUAAACAUUUCUGAUCUCUGAUACAGCUCAGACAGAGAAGACAUGCUCGCUCCUGACUGGCUGUGACGGGGACUUCUUCUGUGUUUGUCAUCAUUCACCUGUUUACUUGCACUCAUUUGCGGUUUGACAGGAGCCCCUCGUCUCUACGGAAACCUGUCACAUCCAAUCAGAAGAAGCAAGGAGGCUGAACGACAGGUGACGAACAUGGAGGAAGCAUUCAGAGAGGAAAGGAUUCACUGAAAAAUAAGAGACGUCAGGACGGAGUGAAGGAGCGCCGCAAGAUGGACAGCAGGGUGGCAGUAUUAUUGUUUGUUCAGCUUACACUCUCAACACGUCAUGUAGACCGUAUUUCUGAUCUUUUUGUGUCCUUUUAUCGAUCUGAAAACAUCACCAUCUUAGAUUUUUUUUAAUGUGAUGGCUUCAUAAUUUUCUUUGCUCUCAAUUUUGGAGCAUGUCAGAUAAAUCUCACUCACUGAAGAGGAAACACUCCCCAGAUUUUUUGUUAAUUCCACUGCGUCAAAACCACAAAACUCCAGAGAUUCCUGUUAAAAUAAUUUUGCAGGAUUCUAGGGCGUUCAGUGUAAAGUGAUGAAAAGUGCAGUUCCCAAGGUGUCCACUUGAGACUGGCUUGAUGCAGCAGAAAGAUUUAGUUUAGUUAGGCGAAGACCUUGUUUUUUCCCAACAAUAUAAAACCUUCUUCUUGAUGACUUAAAGGGAUAUUCUGCGGAAAAUUAAAUAAGGGUCAAACAGAUCAUAACACCGAGUUAGACACCCCCUCCAGAGAUGAAUGUUGCCGAUUGUUUGCGUCUCUAGUUAUACCAACUUUAGUAACGACCGCAUGAUAGCAAUACACAGCGGUCUGGGGAGCCAUAAACAAACCUCAACCAAAACGCCACUCUAGCUAGACCUCAGGCCAGUCCAUUACGGACUACAGCGGGGUGAUGCAGCUCAAGGAAGAACAUUUAUGAUCAUUUCUUUAUCGUUUCCUUGAAGUAAUAAUCAUAAAUGUUCUUCCUUGAGCUGCGUCACUCCGCUGUAGUCCGUAAUGGACUGACCUGAGGUCUCGCUACAAACAAGCGUCUGCUGGAAGAGAGUAGGUGAGUUGUGUUUAGUCUCUUUGCUAAAGAAAUGAGUCAAAGUUAAAAAGAUGUUUGGUGUCUAGUACUAUGUCUGUGACCCUAUAUGUCCUGUUGAUGAAGUUAGGUGCUGUUCUGAGCAUUAUUUGUGGCUAUAGAGUGGCGUUUUGGUUGAGUGCGGGGCUCUCUGUAUUGCUAUCCUGCAGUCGUUACUAAAGUUGGUAUAACUAGAGAAGCAAGCGGUCGACAACAUUCAUCUCUGGAGGGGGGGUCUAACUCGGUGUUACGUGUGUUUGACCCUAAAUUAAUUUUACGCCGGAAUAUCCGUUUGAAUCCAAGUGAUGUACCUAAAUGGCCACAUACGUGUGAGUUACUGAAGUUGGAGACACAUGAUCACAUGAUGAGCUGGCCACUGUCUGCAACAUGCAGAAGAAAUGUGUUAUUUAAACAAAAGUCAAAGAGGAAGAGCGUCCCUGAGUUAACAGGACUGAGUCAAUCAAUACAUCCAACUGAAAGAAUUGUAAUUGCAUAACACGGCGGUGUAAACACACCCAGGUACCAUCGAGGAAAGAUUCUAAUUUAAUCAGACAAACUCUCUCCAGAGGUCACAGACACACUUGGCCUUAUUAAGAGCAGCGUUAAAUGUGUCUUAUCUUUAAUCUACAGGUGGGAGCAGCCUUAAUGAAAUUAAAGGAGGAACAAACUCAGACAGGAUCAUCAGUCAGGAUCAUAGACUAUAAAACACAGAUGUAGAAGCAGCGAAACCACCGUUAUCGGUUUCUGAGGAGGUGUUUUGAAGCCAGACGAUUACUGGUGCUGUGUUUGAAACGCUGACUGAACCUGACCCCAGGUCAGUUUAAGAACAGAAAAAGAGGUGGUAGACAGAAAACUCCUCCACCCACUGAAUCAUACACCUCUAAGAAAUAUUUCAAACAGUGGCAUACUCAGGAUUUUUAAAGGGCAGGUACAAAAAUGUAAAACAACAUCUGCAGGGCACCUGGGAAAGGGCGCCGAGAGGGGACUUUGUCACAUAUUAUUGACUGGAAGAACAACAUGAGGGCACUAAGCUGCAUUUUCAUUAUAGUAAGGGUAUCCAGAGGGCGAUCUAUCACAUUUUAUCCACAGGAAGGGUAUCUAGAGGGCACCAUGUUCAGGACUUGACUGUGCGACCAUUUCAUUUGCAUUUUCGAGUAAUUGAAGAUGUGUGCAAAGUGUAAAAUGUAUUUAGAGCACAUGUGCGCAUAAAAAAAAUCAGCUGAGGCAACAAAUGUUUCUCCUGUAAAUACGGCAGUGAAGUUAGUUUUAGGUUGGCAGUGAAGUUAGUUUUAGGUUGGAUAUCUGACGGACAUUCUCUGAGGAUCUACCAGUGUCUUCUCACUCUCCAUAACCGGGAAUAACAACAUCAGCGCGGUUAAAUCUACUCGACACCCUCACUGUCAACGUCGGUGUUGAAUAAGGGACCAUCAAUAAAUUACCGGUUGAUGUUCUCAAAAAAAAGUCUGUUUCCCUUCAAUAGCCUCCAUGUCCAUGUGACCAACUGACCUAAAAUUGAUUUCAAAUAAUAGUUUUUAUGUCGACCAAUAAGACAAACAUCAUUUGAUCAAUUUUCAUUGUUCCCCUAAAGUUCUUUGUGUGCUCCUUAGUUAGUGUCAGGCCCUCAUGUUGCAUUUUAUCUACAUUAAGGUUGUCUAGACUGGACUUUGUUGAUUAUUUUAUCGACAGGUUAGACAUCCAAAGAGUAACUCUAGUAAAAAUCCACCAUAUGAAAGCCUUACAAUUAUAAACAUCUAAAAAUUACAAUUACAUUAUUAUUAUUAUUAUUAUUAUUAUUAUUUCCUGCCCUCCACGGUCUAAACACACCUGUGCAGAGCAGUGGAUUAAAGAUAUUUAUAUAUUAAACAUAUAAAAAUAAUCAAAAUGUGCAAUAUGUAUACAGUUUUACAAGAUACAAGUAUGUACACUAUAUACAACACAAAAUAGUAAAAUAGUAUGCAUAUAAACAGUGAGGAGAGUCCAGGUAAAGACGGCUGACUGAGGGUGUCAGAGUCUCUGAAGAUCUCGUGGGAUCUCCCAACCAACCAUUACAUCAUACGUUGACCUCGGGAAAUGUGAAAAUGUACAAACGUUUUGUGUCUCUCGUAUAUUCAGUCAUUUAAAAGAAACAAAAAUAACCUCUUGAUGAAAUUAAAACUUAAAAUAAGAAAAACCCAGACGUGUUUCUCGUUCCAAAGUCUUGAAGUAAAGUUUGUAUUUUUCCUGAUGGCCAAACUCUGCCUUACAUUAUUAAUUUGAUCUGUUAUAUAAAGACGUGUGACAGCCAAAAGCAGAAGUAAAAUUAGUUUAAAUGUCUGGAAGAGAAUCAGAGUCAGCUCCCUUCAGAUGACAGCAGUUAUUUCUGUCUAAUUACCGCCAGUCUUUGACCGUGAUCCAUGUGGAGAGUGUGUGAUAGGACAUAAUGAAAGCACAGCCUGUCCCUCUGCUGCCAAUGUAAUCCCACUAAAUGUAUGAAAAUAGAAGCUCAGCUAUUGUUGGAGUCAGCGUGCCGCCUCAGCAUAUACCUCCUCUGACACCAUUUGGAAGAGGUGCACCCUGGGAUAUUCUCUCACUGGGACAAAAUCCAUCUCGAUCCAUCUCCCCCUCUGGCACAGCGAGGGGAAGUUUGAUUGAUUUAUCAGGCCCGCGUCUCCCCAGCCUCCCUUUAAUGAGACAGUAAUAGCCCACGGUCGGCAGGCACUCCAGAGACGAAUGCGAAGGAGAGGCGAGCGGCAGAGAACCGAAAUGUGGACAGAAUAUGUAACCCGAGGUAUAAUCAAUCCAACACACACUUAGAGAGCGAGAGUGAGGGGAGGAAAUGAGAGAGAUGGCCGGAGUGAAGAUGGAGAAAGUGUGAGAGGGCGGACUAUUAGGAGGACGAUGUGACAGAAGCAGCCGGUAAAAGAGGAGAGAGCAGAGGGGGCGGUGGAGAAACGGAUCAAAAGUAAGAGAAGGGAGUGCUGACUGAAAUUACUGCUGCUGGCUGAAAUCAGCGUGUUUAAGCCUCAUUUUAAACCAAACUUUGAAUGAAACAGAUAUUUAGGAGUCUGAGUAACUCAAAGGAUUCAAAGUUUCACAUUUCAAAGAAACUCGACUGACCGCAGUGAAUCCUGUCAGGUGUUACGCCUCGUUUCGACUUCGUGUGUGCACUAAGGCGAGUUAACUAAGAAUCAUUCAUUCCUAUGUGAAUUCCUGUGAAGCUCCUCCCCUCUGUAGUAUUUCGCUCUAUGAUCUACUGUGAGUGACUUUGAUAUAAUCAUGAAUAACCUCAGAGACACCGUACGACUGCGCACUGGUUCCCAGACAGUCGCUCGUUUGGUUUUCCAGUGCGAUGGUAUGAUUGGACAUUUUCUUCAUCGCAGCUGCUUUUGUUUUGACUUCCCUGUGAGCUCACAUGAUUAAAAUAUCCUGGUCAUGAAGUGAUGACAGUCUCUUUCUCUCACCCUCGUUCUCUAUUCUCUCUCCCUCCCUCUCCCUUACUCUCUCUCUCUCUCUCCUUCCUUCUCCCUUGUUCUCCUUCUCUCCCCUGCCCUCUCUCUCUCUCUCUCUCUCUCCCUCUCUCUCUCUCUCUCUCUCUCUCUCUCUCUCUCUCUCUCUCUCUCUCUCUCUCUCUCUCUCUCUCUCGCUCUCUCUCUCUCCUCCCCUGUCUCUCUGUAUUCCUCCCCAACCCAGCACCCGCCUGGUGACUGUCUAGCAUGAGUCUGGUCCUGCUCAAGGUUUCUGCCUGUGAAAAGGAAGUUUUUCAUGUUAGAUGAGAUGGGUUAAAUCUGUCCCAUCUUAAGGUUGGGUCUUGAUAAUUCAUCAAACAAUGAGCGUGGUCUAGACAAGAAAGAAUCGUAGGAUGACGGCUGUUGUGAAUUGGCGCUUUAUCAAUAAAAUUUGAUUGAAUUUAAUUGAAAGGAAGUUAUUCUGCUAUAAUAUGGACAAAACUAAUGGUGGAUUAAAUAUGACAUGUAACUCUUUACUUAGUAUUUAAUUAAUUCUUUAAUUUAUUAUAUCAUAGUGCAGCAUAUUGUAUUAUAAUGUUGUAUUUAAAUGAAGAAAAGGCAAACUAUCAAGAGAUAAAUAUUAAUUCACCUCCCCGUUACGAUCUAUUGAUUGGUGAUCUAAAACUGGGUUAAUGAGGCCAAACAGAUCUCAAACAGAUCCACUUACAUGUGAACAGGGUUUCAGUCAUGUACUGUCAUAUAAAGUUUAAGGCCCACCUUGAAUUAUUCCAGAUCUUUCCUCUGAGUAUGUCUCAGACUGUCCCCAAUAUAAGUCUGGCUCCUCUGGGGGUUCUUAAUAUCCAUCUUAAAUUUCUUGGGUAUUUAAAUCAUGAAUGUCUAAAGUUUGUGAGUUUCAUACUCGAAUGAUUAAAGGAGAUACUUCAGAAUAUCAACCAACUGACGGUCGAACAUCGUCAGCUUUAGCAGCGUGAGCCUGAAAUAACCUUCGUACGAACAGCAGACAGGAGAAGAAGAACAGAUCAGAGGAGGGGAGAAAGAGGGGAGAAAGAGGGGAGAUCAGCAGACAGAAAGACAGACAUACAGACAGGCAGGCAGGCAGGCAGGCAGGCAGCAGGUAGAGCAGGCGUCUGCUGAUUGCCAGCAGCAGUCGGUCACUGCAGCCUUUAAUUAAAGUCACUCUCCUGGGCUCUUAAGCAACAGCUUGCAAUUUCCACAGACAACAGCAGCAUGGCACUGAGCUGGGAUGACCUGUAAUUGUCUGUGGGCGAUAGUGUGUGUGUGCGCGUGCAUGUGUGUGUGCAUGCGUGUGUGUGAUGGGGGGGUGGGGGGGUAGCCUCCCUGCCAACCUGUGAUUUUCAUGGGAAUUAAUGACAUCCUAGUGGGAACAUCAUUUCCCUGACACUGCUGGCCCUGAGGGGAAAGGUGAGGCGCUGACCUUUGUGUCGGCUCCCCCCCUGCUGUCUGUCUCCAUUUUGAAAAUGUGAAAUGUUGUGGAGCAGGAGAUGGAACAAACAGCCUCGGGUAUUAAAAUGCAGGAUGUAAGCAGGAAAAGUCAGGAUUGGGCAUCGCGGACUGCCAUUUGUCGUCAGAAAUCCCUGUGGGAACCGGCUUUUUAGAAAAGGUCAGCUUUAAGAGAUGUGUUCAACACAAAGAUCUUUUCCCCGAGGGCCGUACGUCCAUCCAGCAGCACCAGCAGCAGCUUUGACCACGUGACGUUUUCUCAUUUUUAAUAGUAUUUCAUAAACCUGAGGGACUUGGUCUCACAGGUAAAUAAUUUAAAUAUGAAGGCGUCUUUUUAAUGCUGAUCAUUUUAGUAAUGAAAGGUGUGUUUGUCAGGCCAACAUUUAAAAACAUGAUCCUGAGUAAUUGUUGAUUCCUCAUUAAAAGUUGUUUUCAUAAUCGGAGCGUGGUAGACAGAAUGAUUGGGAGGGAAAUUUUGGUCGAAGAAACAUUUACGUUAUUUCACAAGAAAGAAUCAGCAAACUUUAAAAGACGUAUGAAGGAAACUGUCUGCUCUUUAUUAAAUCUGGAAUCACAAAAUUCUUGAUUUAAAACAUCUGAACUGAUUCAAAACUUUGCUAUUUAUAUAUUAAACUCCAAGAGUCCAUUAACUGUUUAAGUUUGUGAAAACGGCAUGAAGAGCAAGUUUAGAGCGAAAACCUCAGACUGACUGUGCACCAGAGCAUGACACGGGAGCGGAUUUUCACUCCUGUCCCGUCCCAGAGAAAAAAUCCUGUCCCGUCCCAAUCCCGGACCGGAGUAAAAAAAUUUGUUGUGUCCUGUCCCACUUCCAUCCCACACCCACUCAAAAUUACUCCCACUCCUGUCCCGCUCCCGUUUGAAUAAAAUCAAACAUGUCGAAAAAACGUUGCAUUUUUUUAUUUUACGUAAAAGUGACAGCCGAGUCGGAGCGGCAGUCGCUCCCGGCGACACCAGCAGCCGCUCCGAGUCGCUUUUCACUUCCAGUGGCAACAGGAAGUCAACCCACUGUUGUAGUUCUUUUGUGUUGCUAGCGCGGUCAAGAGUGUCAACUCUCACUGACAAAUGACUACAAAAAUGGACGCAUCUGUUCAUCUGGUUGUUAAACAAAUAUGGCUGAAAAUGAUCAUCUAUUAAUGUUGUUCCCUUUAUUUUCCCGUCCCGUACUGGGACAUUGAGCAGCUUUUGUCUCCUAAGUACAAUCUAGACCUGCUUUUUGUGAAGCAAAUUGGUGCUAUAAAUAAAGUUUGAUUGACUGAUUGAUGGACAACCAUUAACAUAAACAAGAGCCAGGAAGUGAACACACGGCAGACCUGCGAUAACAGCAAUGACUCGAUGUAAUUGGUCUAAAAUUAACAUUACUACUGAAUUCUCUGCACAGUUACAUCCACACACUCGCAGGAAUGUAAACACAGAUCAGGUGAGUCACUGGAAACAGUGUGUUAGACUCACAGCUGUUAGUUUCUGAAGGAUUCACACACCAGAGAAACCAUACAAAUGCAGCCAUGUUUAUCCUCUUUACAGUGCUUCCUUUACUUCCUGCUUCCUGUUCAAUGCACCUUUGUCAAUUUCAAAAUAAAAGCAUGAAAAUCUGCACAUAUAACGACACAAACGCUUUCUCACAGGUGACCUUUCGCUGUCUGACUUUAAUAUGUAAUUUCAGACCUCUGCCAACACGUGUUAUAUAAACCUGACUCGCUCUACGUCGCGCUUUAAAAGCUCCCGGUUGAAUACAGGAGAUGUCAAACUUCUGCCCUCGUUUGUUACCGUCUUUGUGUGACAGAGUUACCUAGGCUUUUUAGACUUUUCUCUUUUUUUCUUAAACUUUCAAAGUGACACAAAAUAAAACGGCUAAAAAUACAGCCGACGACAAACAGCUCCCAUGUUCCCUGUUGUAAAAUUACAGCUUUUGUCAAGAGUUUGGCGGCUUUGAGAGAGCGAAAAAAAAAAAAAAAAAAAAUGGCCGAUUUUGGUUCAUGAAAAUAAAUUACUGACUGAAAAGUCUGUCAGCAGGAGUCUUUUCUGAAAGACGCUUGGUUGCAGACAGAAAUUUUCCAGGGCUGAAAGCACUGCCACUCCUGAACACUAAGUAUAAACUGAAGUUGAUGGGCAAUUUCUCCAAAAAUAUUGAAAAGCAUUACAAUAUGGGUGAAAAUGAGUAUCCAGCUGAAGAGGAACAAAACGCCUGAAAACUUUUCUGUUUUCUUCUGAAGCCUCGGAGCUUAAACCCAGUUUAAAGUCUGCAGAGUGAGCGGUUGCAUCACGUUGAAGAGCAUCUUACAGCACAUUACAGACAGGACGGGACAGAGACGGCGUGCAGCAGCCUCCACCGUCCUGCUGGCCGUCCGUACCCAGGGACCUCAUUAGUCCGAGCGGGCUGCUCCUUGGUCACCGACGGCUCCUUUGAGGGCGACGCGAAGCCACGGGGUCCAGCUUCUUACCCACUGAGGGUUCAGCGCUGAAAGGCCAGAGCAGUGACCUGAGACUCCAAAUAGUCUGUCUGCCUCGCUGGGACAAAUCAGGAGGGAGGGCGACACAUCGGCGUGCUGCGACACAUCGGCGUGCUGCGACACACCGGUUUUGUGUUCAUAAUAAACCAGCAGGUAGAUGCAUGGAGAGCCAGCAGCUGAGCCUCAAACAUCCGAGUUUACCGCCCACAGACUUUGUUUGUUAAGGAAAGUUCUCCUUCAGAAGUGACCCCUCGUCUGAAGCUGAUUCCUGACAUGAUUUUACUCAAAUAUACACAUAAACCUUUUGAAAUGUAACUCUGGGUAGUCCUCAUUCAGCGGAGGAUCGCUACCACCGACCCAGAAAAGAGGAAAACCAAAGCAGGUUUUCUUCAGAUGAGUAGGGAUGGGGAUCAUAAAUUCUGAUUCAUCCUGAUGUCUUUAUUGAGUCCUUGUUGGUGCAGCUAUCGCGUCUUUGCUGUUAUUUGGAGGAAACACAUUAAUACCAGUCAGUUGACCACUCAAAUGAGAUUCAUGAGAAGAGACCGGACUCUAUGAGAGGGUGCCUGAUGUCUAGGCCUCGUAAAGGAGCAGUACGUGCUGAAAGUAGCACCUGCAAGGCUGCAGCUGGAGAAAAUUGCAUCAGUCUAGGAUCGUGUUGGGCGGUAUGAACAAAAUCUUAUAUCACGGUAUGUUUUUUCUCCUGUAAAUUCAAUUAAUGUCUUAAAAAAUAACCGUACUGUCGCAUUUGUUCAUUUUCCAAAUGCAAACAAAAUGUCCGACCAGUCUGGCGAUCUUUUUAUCACGUGACGUAUCUUUGGAGAAAGACUCGGCCAAACUCUUUAGUCUGAAGGAGCUGCUGCAGUUUAAGUUUUUGGUGCAGCAGGUGCGUCACGCAUCUUCUGUCUCUCAUAACAGAGUUUGACGUGUUUCAUCUUAAGGUGGUGGAAGAGGCUGUUGGUGUUUUGCGUAGUUUUGUUUUUUUGAUCAUUGUCAGAAUUUCUAACUCUGAAGAAUCUCAAGACAACCGAUGUCACCCUUUUUCUGAGCUAGUCCCUCCUCCUCUUCCUUCUGUUGGGUGGGUCGGGCUGCCUUUAUUUGAUUGGUGGCACCACUAAUCAGGGCCCAACCGAUCUAUCGGUGAGCCGAUUAAAUUGGCCAAUUUUAACCCAUUUGAGACUAAUCGGUAAUCGGCCAAAACUCGCUGAUUUUCGCCGAUAUUUUCAGAAAUAAAUUGCGGAGAAUAAGAUUCAGUUUCACUUCGAAAAUGUUCCUCCAUUUGAAAAGUUCCCCGACUUAUCCAGUAGAUGGCGCAGCAACCUCAUGUACAAUCUUCAUCCACUAACUACCUCACAGCACAGCAGAGUGACGGAUCUGAAGCAGGCAGCUCAGGGACGCACGGAGGAGAGCGGUCCGCCUCAACGGGAAAUAAACCAGUUUGUUUCGUACACAAGAAGUCAACAAGUUUCGGUCAGUCGAUCUUUCUGUCGGCGUGAAGAGCAGUAGCCUACAGUAUAUCUACAGUAUACUAUAUACUGUAGAUAUCGACAGUUUAUAUAUAUUUUAUAACUUUAUAAAAAAUAUUAAAAAAUGGCCGAUUAAUCGCUAAUCAGAUUUUUUCCCCCCUAAUAAAUAUUAUCGGCAUUGGCCCCAAAAAAUCCAUAUUGGUCGGGCCCUACCACUAAUCUCCGUGUCUGCCAUGACGACCACCAGUGAAGGUGAUUCUUCUUCGUCGACAUGAUGCCAACCAGUCUGCUGGACAUGAUGGUGAUUAUAGGGAGCGCACCCAAACCUGACCAAUCAGACGGAGCGAACAAACUCCACAUGACACGCCGGUGAAUAUACGGAAACACACCCAAACGGACAUGCUCCAGCUCCAAGAUUUCUACAGGUAGAAACUUGUAUACCGUCACAGUGUUUAUACCGUCAUUGUUGCCUGCAAGAUCUGUACAUUGGAACAUGAUUAUCAUGGGAGCAGGGAGGUGCUGCAUGAGCGUUUGAGGUGACAGUCGUCUCAGUGGUCCAGUCAAAGCUUGUAUGAGUUAAAUGGUAGCUAAGUGUAUUCGCCGCAGUGAUUAGAAAAGCGUUAAUAUCAAACUCUAAAUCCUGUGUCCGUUUGGUGCCGUCUGAAAGAUUCAGAAAGAUGAAGAUCCAGCUUUUCUUUACACAUCCAGAUAUAACCAACAGAGCGGCGUUUACUCCAUCCUUUUGUGAGAUAUUUGUCCUCUUUAAAUUCUCACUCAUUGUUCUGUCCAUCACUUCUCUGACAAAAUAAGAAAAUCUGCAGAGUGGAGUGUCUUUCACUCAGACAGACGGUAUUGUUCCUCUGUAGCUCACAUCUCAGGGCCUCGCUCUCUCUUUUCUCAUUCAUGCUCGUAUUUGAGGCUGAAUGUUCAAUGGCGUGUGACCUUUGUGGGUUCAUUAUUCGGCCUCAUUUACCCGCGCUGUGUUCUUUAUGCACCGAUCUAUAAGCAUGGCCUCCUGUCUGUUACCGGCCUCACUGUUACAUGUCCAACACAGCCCGCUCUGCACCGCUGCCUUCUGUUUCCUGCGCUGUUGCCAUGGUAAUAAUCAGCUUCAUUUGUCCAUUCAUACACCAAAAGGCUAUUAGCGCUCAGGAUAUGAAGAUGCAUGUAAACAAAUUAUCCUUCUCUUAAAUUGAACAGGAUAUGAAGCGAGAUCAGAGGACGUCGGUGCAUUUGUCUAAAAUUAAUUUCCAUCGCUCUCAUGUGACCUCGUUUGACCCCGCUGUUUCACACUGAUAAACCCAAAAGGCUGCAUCCGUCCUUUGACAUUUUUCAUGCACAAACAGCACAUUGCAGAAAAGUAACUGUUGAAGAUUAUUGCAGAGUUCUUCGGUUGACUAAAAGUGUCAAGAUUUGCAGGAUAUCUUCAUCUUGAAUCCGCUGCAGAAACUCAGAGACACAGUCAAGUUAUUUCAGCAGGAGGAUCUCUCCGAAGCUACAGCUUAUUAAAAAACAAAAGCGUACUUGUGUGUACUUUUGCGAUGCCAGAAAAGCUUAAUCACUCAUCUUCUCAUAACAAGGCAGUUAAAAAAAAAAAAAACCUCUCUGGAUAUCUCUGUGUCGACUAAGUAUCUCAUGAUGGAUCGCUCAGCUAAUCGUCUGCGAGGAGGCAGCCUUUAUCAAUCUGUUCACAGAGAUGAUGUAACUUUGAGAACAAUAGAUGCAGACAGGCUGUUUAAAAGCAUGAUUUAUUAAAGUCGAGACAAUUUUAGCUCCAUGUAGGAUGAUUUUACUGGAAUUAAGCGGGGCUGUAAUUGCUGCCUGGAAAGACAAAACUGAACAGAACAAUCUUUAACUUGGCCCAGAGUUCUGGAGGAGGACAUAAAACGUACUUUUUAGUCUCAUUUAUAUGAAAAUGAUCCACAGAAUUUCCACUAAUGCUGCAUUAAAACUCACUGUUACACAAACAGCUACCAUCUGACUGAGUCGCUGCGUCGCUCUCUUUCAUUCUUUGGUUUAUAACUUUUCACAAACUUCACACUUUUUAUUUGAGUCUCGGUGAUGAGCAUUAUAAACAUUUAUAUGUUUUGAUUCGUGUAAAUAAAAGCCUAAUUAAUCCAUUUAUUAAUGCUGAUAGGCUCUUUCUUAUGAGAAACUUAAGAGUUUAUAUACAGUUUAGGCCAAAACUAUUCCCCCCCCCAUGAAAUUUUAACUUUUGAUGUUUUUACACAGCUUUUCCAAACAUCCUAGUUUUAUUUUAGAUCCUUACAUUAUUUUACUUUGCAGACAGAAACAAAAUUAUGUCACAAAAAACAAAAACUACCAGGGUCAAAAAUAUGAGCCCCCCUCAGGCUAAUGCGUAAUGAGGUUUUUAAACUGUGUGUAAAUUGAGGACAACCCUUUGUUUUAACAUAAUUGAUUGAUUGAUGACAAGCUGUGAGCGCUUGAAAGUGAAAGCACAUGAUUGCACAACAGUGGUUUUGGUUUUGGAUCAAUAAAAACGUCAAAUCUUAAGGGGGCGAAUAUUUUUGACCCUGGUAGUUUUUGUUUUUUUGUGAAAUAAUUUUGUUCCUGUCUGCAAAGUAAAAUAAUGUAAGGAUCCAAAAUAAAACUAGGAUGUUUGGAAAAGCUGUGUAAAAAAAUCACGAAUCUGUUGAACAGCACAGAAACUUAAAAUUUCACAGGGGGGCGAAUAAUUUUGGCUUCAACUGUAGCUGUUAAUGUCAAAAAGAUGUUUAGUACUCAUGAGGAUCUUGUUUGCACUUACAAGACCUAAUUAACUUUAAUUAGAUGUUAUUUAACAUGAUUAUGAAGGUUAAGAUUAACGCCUCUGCAAAGAUGCAUUGAUAACUAUUGAUCAAUCAAUCGUGACCUUUAAGUUUAUUAACAUCUUAUUAAAUUAAAAGGUUUAAUAUCCAUUAAAAGUUUUUACUAACUUCAAAUGAUGUUUAGCAAGAUCAUCGACAUUGAUGACAGUAAAUCAACAAUUAACAAGUUUCAAAUGAGAUAAAUGUGUUUAUUAUGUUUCAAUUAACACUUACAAAUGUUUAUUAGCACCUUAUAAAGUCUAAUAUGGGGCAGUUUAACCUUUUAUUGUUGGUUAUAAAAAGGAAAUAAUAUUUCUGUUAAAACGAAUUUGAAAACUUCUCUUUGCUCUUUUUUUAAACGUCAGAUUUAAAAUGUCGAAAACAGGGGAAGAAAAAAACGUCCAAACAUUAUUUAUAAAAUGCAUAAUUUGCCGAUAAACGCGUCGUUCAGAGACGCUCUUGUCCUCUGUCUACACGUUGGAUCAGGACGCAGCAGCGCUGAAGGUCGUCUCCUCCACCGCCUCUGCACCACCUGACAUUUUAUCAGCUCCACUACAAGUCCAGAAUGUCAGAAAUGUUUUCUUUCUUAUUCCUCUCCCUCCAGUCUGCUCCUCAUUUUCAAUCUGCCGGUGUACAGUGUUUGUGUUGCAUCUACUUUCCAAUCGGAGCGUGCGACCUCAGUGUCACUUCGUUUCUGACGAAGCAAUCAGGUAAAAAUGGCUCUGAAAUGGCAGAUUACUUCAGACGGAGCGGAGAGCGCGGGACGCAGGCGGACUGCAGGCAAAUUGCCUCUUUCAGCACUUAAAUAAAGGCGGGAGGUCAGGAGAGGCUGAGUGAGAGGCUUCACACACACACACACACACACACACACACACACACACACACACACACACAGCGUCCUCAUCUUCCUCCGUCUCUCUGUCCUUUCUCUCUCUUUCUCUCUCUCUCUCUCUCUCUCAGUCCAGUCCUAUGAAUCUUGAUUGACAUGAUGUCCUGAGAAACAAGAUUCAGAUCAGUGUCUCAUCACCAGACGGAUGUUAAAUUUUUCUGUAUUGAAAUUUCGCUCGUCAUUUUGAAGAGGAGAGAAAAAAGGAAAAAGGGCGUUUGAAUCCUGACGCUUGUUUCCCACGAUCCAGCGUCUCUGUCCUCGAGGGUUAGGGGCCCCUGAGGGGAAGAGACUUUUGUUUUUGGUCCUGCUCAACACAUUUCCUCUUCGGUAUUAUGCAACACUACGCAAACAGAUAAUAGGUUAAAAUAGUUUGUAUCAGAGACCUUUGUGUACCAGAUUCACAAACCCCAAACACAGCCCAAACUCGGUCUUUUUUCUAUUUUUCGUCUCUUUGAUUAACGUUAUAAAUAUUCAGAUUUCCUCCAGGAGCCCACAAGCAAGGACGGAGCCAGGGUAACAACUUUGUCAACAACUGCGUGAGCAAAAUCUCCAACAGUUUACGACGUUUCGUGACGUACAACUGCAGGAAAUUAAGGAUUUCAUCAUCCCGAUCAGUUAUCUCCAAACUAUUCCACAAAGGGCCGGUGUGGCUGCAGGUUUUUCUCCCAACCAACAGCAGCGCUCCUGACUCGAUUCAUUUUAUCAGCUGAUCUCAGUCUUCAGACAGCUAAUUGGUCAGACUGCUGCUCUUGAUUGGUUGUAAGAAUAAACUGCAGCCACACCGGCCCUUUGUGGAAUAGUUUGGAGAAGCCUGAUCUAGAUGAUGAAAUCCUUAAAUUCCUGCAGUUGUACGUCGUGAAACGUCGUAAACUGUUGGAGUAUUUGCUCACGCAGUUGUUGACAAAGUCGUGAACCUGGCUCCGUCCUUGCUUGUGGGCUCCUGGAGGAAAUCUGAAUAUUUAUAACGUUAAUCAAAGAGACGAAAAAGACCAAUCCCUUUAAAAGAGGCGACGUGAGAUCCCUGAUCAAACAUUUCACUCAUGUUUCCGUUGAACAUCAGCAUGAUCCUCCGCCGGGCCUGUAAAAGUCCUAACGACUCCUGAUUACCCUGAACAUUUCAUCUCCUCCUCCUCCUCCUCCUCCUCCUCCUCCUCCUCCUCUUCGUCUGCAGCCCCAAUCAUCAGACCAACCUCUGUCAAAGACAACAGAGCAGCAACCCGCCCUCCCGCCGCCACCUCAGAUACACCAGGAACAAAUUAACCAUCAGAAACCCUUCCUCGCACACACACACACACCUCACCCUCCUCACCCUCCUCACCUCUCGUUCUCUCUCCCUUCAUCCACCCGUCACCGUCUUUGUCCCCCGUCCCCGGCUGCUCGCCGCUCUUCUCAGGUUGCUGCUGCUGCUUACAGAGACUGUCGCCGAGUCGUCGUUUGACAUCUAUUACAGUUAAGGAUCACCCUGGCAUGUGUUCACGCCGACAGACUCACACACACUCACACACACUCUCUGUCACACCUCUCUUAAGGCCAGGAGAGCUAAUGACUGACUGAGAUAGCCGGGCUUUAAAAAAGAGAAAAAGGGAAGGUGCCAGAAGAUGAUUCAUCGGAGCCGCUCCGAGAUGACUGACGGCUGAUUUAUGAUUCAGCGGCGAGCUGUGAGAGCUUAGAGUCAUUUCCUCCCAUUUCUUAUUUUAAUUCCUCUCCGCAGGUGAAGGCAGGAGGGAUGGGAGCCAAUUAUCUUAAGUGUCUUCUUGCUCUCUGUCAGCCGCUGACAGUCGCUGCAGAAACUCUGAGGCUGGCUUGGAGAACAGGUGACUGCCUGCCGCUACCGCCACCGCCAUCGCCACUGCCGCCUCCACCUGUAUUACAAUCAGCCUCAGGUUUUGCAUUAGCAUGGUGGCAUGCAGCUCCAAUAAAUAACACCUGUGUGUGAGUGUUUGUGCUUCUGUUUGACCAGGAGAAUAACAGGGUUUCUGCUGUUUAUGUUGUUUGUUGGAAACCAAUUUACAAUUCAGAUGCAGAAAUAUAUCCGCUCCUCCUGCGUCUCAGAGAGUUAUGUUGAAAAUAUACAUUUUUACCGAGCAGUGUUGUCUCAGAUCACAUAUUCUCUGUACAAAGGAGUGGUCAACAUUCCCUUCUUGUAACACAAACAAACUUUGUUCACAGACAACAAAAGUGAUUUUGAGCUCAUGCGGUGACUCCCACUGCAGAAUCGUGUCUAUUUUAAUGCUGCCUGAGGACCUGGACGUCACAGCUGUCUAGUAUCAAUCAAUCAAUCAAUCAAUCAAUCAAUCAAAGUUUAUUUAUACAGCACUGUUCAUACAAAUGAAAUUGCAGCUCAAAGCGCUUUACUUCAGGACAAGAAAAAUAAAACUUAUUAAAAUAGAUUAAAACAGACAAUAAAAUGUAAACUUGAAUUUAUCAAUAAAAUAAGGUAAAAAGUGAUACUUAAAAAAAAUAAAUUAUAAUAGUAAUUAAAAUUAAAAUAGAGUAGAUAAGAACAAUUAAUUUGGGUACUUUCCCCUUUUACUUUGUGUCUAUCUGAACUGACUAAACUUGAUAAAAGAAGAAAUCGAGAACUAAAUCGAACCGCCACCUAAACUGUGACUUUUUUUGAUCAGCGAGGUAACGUUUAAAAAUAUCAAAUUUUAUCGCCAGCUCACUUGGAUUCCAGUCCCUGCUUGGAGUUCUGCAUCAGUUCCUCCCUCUGUAGACCAGUACCAGAGACUAAAACCUGAGUGUUGUCCUGGUUGAGCUUUAAAUGAUGCAGAAACUAAAACACAGUCAUCAGGUAACACGGCAGUAUAAAUCUGUGCGUCCUCUGAAAGUUGAUAUUAAUGUUGGGUUGAGUCAGGACAUGAUUUCUGUCUUUGCCGUCCAGGUAGAUCCAGGUCCAUUAGAUCUGGACUCUCAGCAGUUACACGGACGUUAUCUGGUCUUAAGCUAUUAAGAAGAAAUUCCCAUUUACUGCUACUUAUCAACCAAAAGGGGGCGUGGUUUCGACUGCGUUCAUCUGCUGGUCUCGAUCCUCGUCAUUCUUGUAGUUUUCCCAGUUUCUCAGUUUGCGUCCUGCGUGUGAGAGGUCUGCAGUGAUGUAACCUGCACAUUUCCUGACCCUGGAUGGAGCGCAGGUUGGCCCUGAUGAUUUUCUCCACAGUCCUGAUUGUCCGUUGAACUGUUCCUGUUCCAAACUGAACAGUGAUGAAUGUGCAGAGGACAGACUGGAUGUUGGCGUUGUUGAAGUGGAUCAGCAGCUCCUGAGGUUGAUUUUACUACCAGAGUUUUGCGAGAAGUUCAACCUCCGCUGGGAGAUGGAGUCUUUGUGGAUGGUCCAUUUCAAGUCUCUGCAUCCCUGUUCAGGACUGUGAAGGGGGCAAGUGAAGGAAGGAUCCUCCUAAAGUUCACUGUCAUCUCCACAGCCUUGAGCAGGUUCAUCUCUAGAUGGUUCUGACCACAGCAGAGGACCAGGUGACCCACUUUUGACUCAUCACAGUCUCGGAUGAGACCGGUGACUUUGGUGUCGUCCACGAACAUCAGGAUUUUGACAGACAGGUCCCCUGAGGUGCAGUCGUUGGUGUUAAGGGACCACAUCACCAGGGGGCGCCAGUGCUGAUGGUCCAGGUGUUGGAUAUGAUGUUCCUCAGCUUCACCUGCUGCCUCCUGUCUGUCAGGAAGCUGUUGAUCCACCGAGGAGCUCAGCCUCUCUGAAUGCCCCUCUUUCAGCCGUGUUAUCGUGGCAGAUGAUCCUGAGUAUUUCUUUAAUUCGAUGUAUCACAGUACGACACAACAUUUAAAUGUUGUUUUGCAUUAUUUCCAAUGAGACAAAGGGGUUCGAUGAUUUGCACACAAUCGGAAUCUGUGCUCAUCCGCUCAGAGAAACCAAAGGGUGGCAUCACUGAGUCUUCAUCCAUUUUAAGUAGAUGUUUGUCACUGGAGCGGAAAUGUUAUCCGGGAAAGUUUGUAUCUCUGAGGGCCGCGGUUUUAAAAACUGCAAUUCUAUCAUUUGAGGAAUUUUGUGUUUUUUCUCUUCCUGAAAACUUUCAACCAGUCUCCUUGAAGACUUGAGGACUCGAGUCCUUCUAAAUGUUUAAAUAAAGAUUAGUUUCGCUGGUUGGAGCCAGAAUAAAUCCAGUGAAAGAUGUAGCGGCGUGGAAGAGACGGCGCAUCGCUCCAUCUAUAACCAGAGGCCUCCCCUGUCACUUGCCCCGCCAUCCAAUAUACUCCAAUCAAUUUACCCUCCACUGCAAUUCAAUGUGACAGUAAGACAAAUCGGACUUCCAAUGUAAAAUAAUUGAAACAGACGCUUAUUUGAGUGUGUGAGGGAGGCCGUAUUCUGCAUCAGCCUAAUGCACUGCGUCUGUCCGUGUCAGAGAUGGAUUGUGGUGUCAGAGUUACAGAUAAGCCUCUGUUUAGUUAGCCCCGUUGGGAGGGAUGAACAUUGUAGUCAUAUUAAAGAUAACAAGUGUUUUUAUCCACGUCACACACCGGCGGAGGGGAGGAGGAGGAAGACGCUUGUAUUUUGUCAAGUGAAUUGUAAUUGCUAUCCACCAGAGGACACAUAAUUGAAAAAUUGGAACAGAGCAAAAAGUCAACGGCGUCUGCGUUGUAAACAAAGAUUUGACCAAAUCCUCCGCGGUCGUGGGCGGCCGACAUCACAGGCUCUGGGAAAAAAGAAAAAAAAAAGAAAAAAAGGCACAGAAGAGGCUCGGCUCUCUGAAAUCCACUUUUACAAAAAGGAAAAAAUAAAAGGUCUUUGGUUAGGGGAUUAAACGACACACAUAAACACACAUUUACAGAGCCAAAGAGCGAGAGAGCGAGCCGCUGUGUUUGGUGCCAAACAGAGCUGUGUUCCAGAGAAGAAGAAGAAGUGGUGCUUGAAGAGAAAAAGGUUUGCGGGGGGAAAUAAAGAAGGUGAAUUUGGAUUGAUGUGAAUCACACUCGCUGCUCUGCCCUGGAGCUCGUCCAGCGCGGGAUGAAUCGCCUACCUGUGUCAGAGAGGAUGUGUGAGAGCAACAUCCAACAACAACAACAACAACAACCACCACCCUCCACCCCCUCCACCAACCACCAUUACCCACCGCCCACGCCUGCCUGGCCGCCGGCGUGUUACAGCGAGGAUUAGAUCGUAUAAUCAAAGACAUUCCACCUUCAGACUGGCACAACCUCCGGGUCUCCCUCUUCUUCUUCGCAGGGAGCCAAACUGUGAGUCAAGGAGGACGCUGGGAAAAUAAAUGGUCAUGGACGGAUUGCAGCAGCCGAGCUAAACCCACACACAGCUAAGGGAGCGCUCAGCAGAGGUCGGAGGUCAGGUAAACUCCAUGACACUCCUCGCUAGCCGGCUAAUCCAGCAGAGGAUGAGGAGGUUUUUUUUGGCAGUGGGCGGCUAAACAGGCGGGCAGCGAGGUUAAAGCAUGUUUCCGCCCAACUGUAGCAUCUGGAGACGUGACCGGCGUUGUUAUGAUGCAGCGUGUCAAAAGCUGAGGCGAAAGGAGAAACAAACGGGGGCGGCGGGCUGCACCAGCGCCCCCUGCUGACAGCUUAGACUGACAGUCUUGAUGUUUGUAUGAGAAAAUAGACGAACCUGGACCUGAGCGUGAACCCUGAAGUGGGACACCAGAAACUGGACUGUCAACGGUGAUACCAGGAAACGAUUUAAGAAUAAAUUCACAAAUCAAGAUUCAUUAACCUUGAUUCUGGAUUUAAAGUAAAAAAUACACAAAUUUGUCUUAAAUUUACAGUUUAGCUGAUAGAUGAGGGACAUUUUUUUUCCCCUGGUACAGGAGUUGACAUUAACGCUAUGUGACGCUGUGCAGAAUUAAAGUGCGGUACGUCUAAUUUGUGAAUCAAAAUACUUGAUCUGAUGUUAUGUAACUCUGUGAAAGACUCAGAGUCUCUCGUAUGAUUUGCACGGCCUCUUUCCUCUCAGAAAUUCAUGAACUGAUCACAAAGAGUCCACAGGGAAUAAGUCUGAAAACACGUCCGUGACUCUGUGCCGAGCAAAAACAAAACAUUCGUUUAUAAAUGCGACCUCAGUGUGUACAGUUCAGAUUUUAUUUAAAUUACAAUCACAUUUAAUGUUAAUUAAUGCUAAUGCAUGAUUUAAUGGAACAAACAGCACUGGCAGGGGUUGUAAUUAAGCACAGCACAAGCCUGAGUGUGUGUGUGUGUGUGUGUGUGUGUGUGUGUGUGUGUGUGUGUGUGUGUGUGUGUGUGUGUGUGUGUGUGUGUGUGGUAGGUGACUGCACUUUUAAGAGAAAUCAAAAACUGUGUUCCUGCUGCAGCGACACGGACUCUGUGAUCCUCGCGGGUCAGCGUCACCAACAGCAGCGCUAAUGAGGCCAGAGGUCAAAGGUCACUGCAGACAGAAGACAGGACAAACUUUCCUCUGACCUUGAGUUCACGAUGAAAGCUGAGUCUAAACCGGACGAACCGCCGAGGUCAGAGAGCGAGGUCACUCUCAGAGCGGCUCUCGAUUGGCUGACUGGUUUGGGCGGGCGGAGACGAUAAGAGGACAUUUUCAGGUUAUAGUUUCACGUUAAUUCUCAUCACUCGUAGUUUAGGAUUUUGGGGUGAGUAAUCACAUUUAAGGGGGGACCCUGAAUCCGCCCCUGACACCUUUAUCUACCCUCCUUAAGCAGCGCCGUGAUCUUCGCGAUGUUGGGAUAAAAAUCUGAAAUAAGGAGAUUAUCCACGAAGUCUGAAGUCACGUUAAUGUGCGACUUAAGUGCAACCCGCGUCCUCGAGUCCCUGUUUCUGCACUGUGAAUCUGGGUCCCUCUGUUAUUGUCUCUCCCUCCUCCGACACUUUUGCUCACUCCACUCUCAGGUGAACUUGGAGGAAGAGAGGUGAGAAGAACGGGCUUUAUUUCCUGGAAGAGCUGAGGGGAAGCUCGACAUCACUCAUGAGGAGGAAGGAAGGAGCCGCUGAUUGCACAGGAAGAGGAAGAGGGGUCUUUAAUUUACAGUCCUCUCUGGUGUUCAAGCCUUCAGCCUCACACAGAGUUAAUCAGCACUUAGGCUAUAGAUAGGAAGAGAGGGAUGGAGAGGAUGGCGAGGGGGAGGCUGGUCUCUGGAUCCAGCAGUAUGUUUAUCUGCUGUUGUCUAGAGGAGUUCCUCAGUGUGGUGGCUGGUCAGAUUGUCACUGUGAUGUUUGUCUAUCAGCAGCUGAGGUAGGUGAAGUCCAAACCUGAGUGGGACCUGGGAUCUUUUCCAAUCAAAAUGGCUGAAAAUAUGCAUGAAAAUAUGAACCAACGUUUAAAGAAUUCAGAUGGCAAAAACAAGCAUGUUCUCAAGGUGAAUAAAAGCUUUCAACAGGACACCUCAGAGGACAGUUUAUAACUUUACUCUUACUGGAAGGGCAUCCAGGUGUUGUUCUGUCAUGUUUUAUCGUUGAAUCCACACACAAAAAUAUACUCUCUCUCUCUCUCUCUCUCUCUCUGCAGGACUCACAUCUUGGACCUGUAACACCUGUGACUGAACUCAUCCAAGAAAUCAUGCAGACCACAUGGAUCCAUGACCCAGACGGAGCGGUAACAUGACAUCCAGCAGAAACAGACACAAUAAAGACAAACAGACGAGGUGAUUUCAGUGACUCAGUUUGAGGAUUUUUAUGAUUUUUUUACCCACAAUCAGAGACUCGACCACAAUCUGAGCUGAGUCAGAAACAUCCAAACAGUCGGACUAAUAAAUGUGAUUAUUAUUAUUAGAGUGAUUGAAAAGCUCAUAACAACAUGUAGAUCUGUCCAAAGUCUGAUUCUAGAUGUCUUUACAAACACACUGAUCCAACAGAAGCAGACAGAAAUAUCCAUCGAUCACAUGAACACAAAUAUUCAGCAAACAGAGAAAGAA
rnacentral:lncRNA from 1 species